AUAGAAGGGUGCGCGGUGGACGCUGAGACUCACCAACAGAAAUUUAAAAUGUCAAGAAGGGGAGGUAGAAGGGUGCGCGGUGGACGCUGAGACUCACCAACAGGAAUUUAAAUUUGUCUUUUAGAAAAAGAUGCGCGGAGUGACGCGAUUACGCUCCAACAGGAAAUUAAAUUGUCAAGAAGGGGAGAUAGGAGGGUACGCGGUGGACGCUGAGACUCACCAACAGAAAUUUAAAAUGUCAAGAAGGGGAGGUAGAAGGGUGCGCGGUGGACGCUGAGACUCACCAACAGGAAUUUAAAUUGUCUUUUUGAAAAAGAUGGGCGGAGGGACGCGAUUACGCUCCAACAGGAAAUUAAAUUGAUGCGCGGAGGGACGCGAUUACACUCCAACAGAAAAUUAAAUUGUCAAGAUGAUUAUUCCAACUAUAUUGAGUAUCAUACAUGUAAUGAUUAUAGUAGGUAUCUUCGCUCGUAGAUCCAUUAUUCAGAUAACUAGAAUUCCAAUAAGUAUUUUUUAGUUCACUCCGAAACGAAUGAUUGUUGUCAAUCUCAAAAAUUUGAUUUUCAAUAUCAAAAUAUAUGGAAAAAUUGUCUCCAUUACUAUCCUUAACUAAAAAAGUGUCAUCGGAGAUGAAAUUCCGAAUGUCCAUCUUAGAUUCAAUCGAAUUCGAGAAUCAAUUGUCGAAACAUCUACAGGAGUUUACUUAUUUAUAGCCAUUCAAUUACAUAUACCUAACCUAUCCGAACCAACCCAUUUUUAUGAAUUCUAUUUUUUGUAAACUCUUUUCCCAUAAAUUGUUAAAGCUUCCAUAAAAGCUAGACUGAGCAAUAGAGUACCUCGUAUUUUUCCCUCUGCCUCGGGCUGUCUCGCGAUACCCUCUACGGCUUGACCCGCAGCAGUUCCUUGACCAACUCCGGGUGAUUCGAUUAAGGUCUAAAUAAUCAGGAAUCCUAUUUUUUUUUUUACCAUAAAAAUCCGAACUAAAGAAUUUGUACCUCACCCGAUCAUUCGUUACUGAGAGUGACGCUGAGACUCACCAACAGGAAAUUAAAUUGUCAAGAAGGGGAGGUAGAAAGGUGCGCGGUGGACGCUGAGACUCACCAACAGGAAAUUAAAUUGAUGCGCGGAGGGACGCGAUUACGCUCCAACAGAAAAUUAAAUUUGUCAAGAAGGGGGAUAGAAGGGUGCGCGGUGGACGCUGAGACUCACCAACAUGAAUUUAAAUUGUCAAGAAGGGGAGGUAGAAAGGUGCGCGGUGGACGCUGAGACUCACCAACAGGAAAUUAAAUUGAUGCGCGGAGGGACGCGAUUACGCUCCAACAGAAAAUUAAAUUUGUCAAGAAGGGGGAUAGAAGGGUGCGCGGUGGACGCUGAGACUCACCAACAUGAAUUUAAAUUGUCAAGAAGGGGAGGUAGAAAGGUGCGCGGUGGACGCUGAGACUCACCAACAGGAAAUUAAAUUGAUGCGCGGAGGGACGCGAUUACGCUCCAACAGAAAAUUAAAUUUGUCAAGAAGGGGGAUAGAAGGGUGCGCGGUGGACGCUGAGACUCACCAACAUGAAUUUAAAUUGAUGCGCGGAGGGACGCGAUUACGCUCCAAUAGACAAUUAAAUUGAUGCGCGGAGGGACGCGAUUACGCUCCAACAGAAAAUUAAAUUUGUCAAGAAGGGGGAUAGAAGGGUGCGCGGUGGACGUUGAGACUCACCAACAUGAAUUUAAAUUGUCAAGAAGGGGAGGUAGAAGGGUGCGCGGUGGACGCUGAGACUCACCAACAGGAAAUUAAAUUGGAUCUUCUUGAUUGAUGAUUUUUUUUUUUUUUUUAAAAAAAAAACAGAUUGGUGGGAUUGACCCGAGCCCAAUUAAACACUGAAAGAAAUGAAAAUGCAAGUUCAAUAUUAUCAAACUGAAUGAUUAAAAUGCACGUUGCUCAAGUUGGUGGAUUUGCAAUCUCUCUUUUUUUUUCCAAAUUUUAGAAGAAAUGAAAGAAACACACCUUUUUGUUUUUUUUUU
rnacentral:lncRNA from 1 species